rnacentral:rRNA from 1 species
UACGAAGGGUGCAAGCGUUACUCGGAAUUACUGGGCGUAAAGCGUGCGUAGGCGGUUCGUUAAGUCCGUUGUGAAAGCCCUGGGCUCAACCUGGGAAUUGCAGUGGAUACUGGCGAGCUAGAGUGCGGUAGAGGAUGGUGGAAUUCCCGGUGUAGCGGUGAAAUGCGUAGAGAUCGGGAGGAACACCCGUGGCGAAGGCGGCCAUCUGGACCAGCACUGACGCUGAGGCACGAAAGCGUGGGGAGCAAACAGG